CAAACUUUACAGCAAAUGGUGACAUUGUCCUCGUGUUUUACUGACAUUUUUCUUGUGAUAUAGCAGUAUUAAGUCCCUUUACUAUGGAACAGUGCAGAUCCUGACACAGGAGUACCUUGCUGAGGUUCAUUUUAAUCAACCAGUACAGAUGUGGAUUAAUCAAUUGGAAAAGGACAAAGAUGUUAUUGCUCAGGCACAAGCAAUUGCAGCUCUUGAAGCAUCACCCCGGUCAUCGUUUUCUUUUGUGAAUGCUCUAAACAAUUUUCUCUGUGACUCCCAAGGAUGAACAUCAGAAACAGAUUGGGAGCAAUAUCUGCCAAUGUUGAAAAGGAUUUGGAGAGAUGGCAUAAUGCAAGGAAUGCAAGGAUUUUGAUAAUGUGCACAUGAAGUGAACAGCUAACUAUUUUAUGUGAUUAUAUUUUGUAGCAUAGCCUUCUCUAUCAAUGUAUCAAUGUAUCAAUGUGCCACUGUUCUGUGUGAUAAUGUGCCACUGUCUCAAUGUGCCCUUAACUAGCAAAUAAAUAAAUAAAUUAUUUUUUUUGGAAUA